UGUCAGUGAUGAAUUGCCAUGCUAAUACCGACGCAACAGCCAGGGCCUUGAAGGACCUGUGCUGGGGGCGAGUGAGUUAAAUCCGCUUCUCAAUCUGUGAGUGCUGAAGGCAG